ensembl:snoRNA
GCAUGGGUUUGGAUUUAUGGCAGGUCCGUCCCCAUGGGCCUCUCAUAGUGCCCCAUGCCAGAGCAAGCCGUGGCCGGGAACCAUUGCCUGGCCCUUUGGCAGUGGGCUGCAGGCACUGAAGCCGGUCUUACAAUG